rnacentral:rRNA from 1 species
CUACGGGACGCACCAGUGAGGAAUAUUGCACAAUGGGGGGAACCCUGAUGCAGCAACGCCGCGUGGAGGAUGACGCAUUUCGGUGUGUAAACUCCUUUUAUAUGUCAAGAUAAUGACGGUAGCAUAUGAAUAAGCACCGGCUAACUCCGUGCCAGCAGCCGCGGUAAUACGGAGGGUGCAAGCGUUACUCGGAAUCACUGGGCGUAAAGGACGCGUAGGCGGGUUGGAAAGUCAGGUGUGAAAUCCUACAGCUUAACUGUAGAACUGCACUUGAAACUUCUAAUCUAGAGUAUGGGAGGGAGAGAUGGAAUUAGUGGUGUAGGGGUAAGAUCCGUAGAUAUCACUAGGAAUACCUAAAGCGAAGGCGAUCUCCUGGAACAUUACUGACGCUAAGGCGUGAAAGCGUGGGGAGCAAACAGGAUUAGAUACCCCUGUAGUC